GUUAGAUGUUUGAAGCGGUGCAUUUGCAGACACAGUGAAUUGUGCCCAUGAAGCUGGAGGCUGGGAUAAGGGACCCAGCUAAAAAUCAGGGACCAAAGCAGCUAGAGUAUCAUCAGUGAACUCCAGCAACUUUCAACUCCAUGACAAAAAAAUCAUUGGUGAGACUGGGAUGGAUCUAAAAUGUGGCCGUGACUGAACAGUGAGAGCUGGGGAAGAUGUGCCUGCUGACACCUGUGGACCCAAAGCACUAGCCUAAUGGUGUAGCCUGUGCUGAGGGCCUGAUCUUGUGUGGGGCUGAGUGUCAGAAGCCCGAAAAAGAAAAAUAUUUACUUCAUAUUCAUGUAGGUAAAUGGCCAUAUUUAUAUCCUGAGCGAGCCACGGAAUUCUCCACACAGCUUUGUUAUUUAAUAAAUUUA